rnacentral:lncRNA from 1 species
AGCACUCUGUUUUCUCUAUCUCAAUUAUUUAAUAUUAAUCUAAUAUCUAACAAUUAUGACCAGCCGAGGUGGGUGUAGGUGUGAUUAGAUCUGUGCCGUGUGUUUGUGGUUGAGAUGGACAAGCAAAGGCCAACCUGAUAUAUAGAGUUUUCCACUAAUAUAUUAGUAUAAUAAUAUUAUAUUAUAUACAUAAUAUAUAUUGCUAGAGGUUUCUGCAACUUUUAGCUUUAUUGCCACUUUUAGCUUUCCAC